rnacentral:rRNA from 1 species
UACGUAGGGUGCGAGCGUUAAUCGGAAUUACUGGGCGUAAAGUGUGCGCAGGCGGCUCCGCAAGUCGAGUGUGAAAUCCCCGAGCUUAACUUGGGAAUUGCGCUCGAAACUACGUGGCUAGAGUGUGGCAGAGGGAGGUGGAAUUCCACGUGUAGCGGUGAAAUGCGUAGAGAUGUGGAGGAACACCAAUGGCGAAGGCAGCCUCCUGGGCCAACACUGACACUCAUGCACGAAAGCGUGGGGGAGCAAACAGG